AUUGAACGCUGGCGGCAGGCCUAACACAUGCAAGUCGAGCGGUAGAGAGGUGCUUGCAUCUCUUGAGAGCGGCGGACGGGUGAGUAAUGCCUAGGAAUCUGCCUGGUGGUGGGGGAUAACGUUCGGAAACGGACGCUAAUACCGCAUACGUCCUACGGGAGAAAGCGGGGGAUCUUCGGACCUCGCGCCAUUAGAUGAGCCUAGGUCGGAUUAGCUAGUAGGUGAGGUAAUGGCUCACCUAGGCGACGAUCCGUAACUGGUCUGAGAGGAUGAUCAGUCACACUGGAACUGAGACACGGUCCAGACUCCUACGGGAGGCAGCAGUGGGGAAUAUUGGACAAUGGGCGAAAGCCUGAUCCAGCCAUGCCGCGUGUGUGAAGAAGGUCUUCGGAUUGUAAAGCACUUUAAGUUGGGAGGAAGGGCAGUAAGUUAAUACCUUGCUGUUUUGACGUUACCAACAGAAUAAGC
rnacentral:rRNA from 1 species